GUGGAUAGAAAGCAAAAGAGAAAGAAGAAGAUGAAGAGAAAAGGAAGGAAGGGAAUUGCGGAUUAGGGCCGUUGCACCUAAGGUGUGGACUUUGGCAGCGGUUUUGAGGAUCAUGUCUACGAGACACCAGGAUGCUAAUGGACUUCACUUUUCUUAUUUCAAAUAUUCCUGUUGAUGUAUAUAUUAUGGAAUAUGUAGUAGUUAAUAUUGUAACUUGUGGUUGUUUACAGACAUGAAAAUUGUAUAAUGUAAUUUAUCAUUUUAGUACAUCACCAGUGAUAUUAUUGUAUGAUUUUAUUA